AGCCGCCGUCGCCGCCGGCACCGCCGGCGCCGCCGCUGCCGGCGGAGGCACCGGUCAGUCCGGCCGGGUCGGCCGGGUCGAUUCCGCCGGCGGUUCC
rnacentral:tRNA from 1 species